rnacentral:rRNA from 1 species
GAUGAACGCUGGCGGCGUGCCUAAUACAUGCAAGUCGAACGCAUAGCGAAAGGUGCUUGCACCUUUCAAGUGAGUGGCGAACGGGUGAGUAACACGUGGACAACCUGCCUCAAGGCUGGGGAUAACAUUUGGAAACAGAUGCUAAUACCGAAUAAAACUUAGUGUCGCAUGACACAAAGUUAAAAGGCGCUUCGGCGUCACCUAGAGAUGGAUCCGCGGUGCAUUAGUUAGUUGGUGGGGUAAAGGCCUACCAAGACAAUGAUGCAUAGCCGAGUUGAGAGACUGAUCGGCCACAUUGGGACUGAGACACGGCCCAAACUCCUACGGGAGGCUGCAGUAGGGAAUCUUCCACAAUGGGCGAAAGCCUGACGGAGCAACGCCGCGUGUGUGAUGAAGGCUUUCGGGUCGUAAAGCACUGUUGUAUGGGAAGAACAGCUAGAAUAGGAAAUGAUUUUAGUUUGACGGUACCAUACCAGAAAGGGACGGCUAAAUACGUG